AAUAAGAACUAAAAUCUAUAUUACAAAAUUUGGCAAUUGAUAUAUCCACAAAAACUAAAGAUAUACCAGUACGAAAAGCAGCAGUCCCUUGAUUAUGGAGGGAAAUCAAUGUGAGACUUACAGACCUCCUAUAAGAGAAGUUCCAUUGACGUUGAAAGGUAGAAAGAACUAUGACAGGUACUUCAAGCCAAGAGCAGUCUCAAUCGGUCCUCUACACCAUGGUAAAGAUGAGCUUGCGCCUGCGGAGAAGUUCAAGGAAAGACUAGUUGCAGAAUUCAUCAAAGCUAGUGGCCGGACAAAAGACUUCCUUCACCAAAUGAUUGAGAAAGACAUUGAGCGCUUCAAGGACUGUUAUGAGAAGAAGGUGAUAAGAAAAUACAGCAAUGAGAAGCUGGCACAAAUACUCUUCGUGGAUGGUUGUGCAGUCCUGCAAUUCAUACACUACAAAAAAUUGGAGAAAUUAAAACAACACAAUAUAAAGAAUGAUCUUGCAGCUUUCGCAGCGCAAGAUUUAUUCUUGCUAGAGAAUCAGCUUCCUUUCGAAGUUCUGGACUUGUUGAUGAACAAUAGUGAACAUGGUGUCGAUUUGAGGGAAUCCAUCCAACAUUUCGUGGAUAUGAACAUGGAGGUGCAUCCAAAAGAGGGGCUGAACCUCUAUUCACAACCCACUCAUCUUCUUGACCUUUUGCGCACCAGACUCCUCCUUCCCCACGAAGGAAACCUUGACGUUGCUAUAGAUAUACCAGUAAGCAAGUGGCCUACAUUUCGUAACAUCAUGGAGCUUAAAGCUGCAGGGAUUCAUGUGAAGCGUAGUAACACGAGUUGCUUGAAAGAUACUCAUUUCAAAAGCAGAUUCUUAAAAGCAAUAUUGGAGCUGCCAUCCAUGAUAGUGGACGACUCAACCGCACCUAAAUUUUUGAAUCUUGUGGCAUAUGAAAUGUGUCCAGAAUUCCCUAAUGAAUUCGAGGUCAGCUCCUAUCUGUGCUUCAUGGAUUCUCUCAUUGAUCAUCCUGAAGACGUGAAGGAGCUCAGGAAGGCUAAUAUACUUCACAAUUUUCUUGGAAGCGAUGAAGAAGUUUCUACUUUGUUCAAUGAGAUAAGCACUGACUUGGUGCCAAAUCCUAAUGCAUAUUCAUUCGUCAAACAGCAAAUCCAAUUGCACUACGACAAAACAUGGAAGACUUGGAUAGCUCAAGGGUAUCAUGAUCAUUUCAGUAGCCCCUGGACUUUCCUUGCCUUCAUGGCUGCGAUAAUAGGACUCAUUCUAAGUUUCAUUCAGGCUUUGCCUUCAUUGAAACCUGAUCAUUGCUUGAAGGUUUGCACUAAUCAUCCAUAAUUUAAGGGGUGUUUGCUGUCUUUGUCCUGUUAGUUCUCUGUAAAAAGGGAAAAAGCAAUUUCCUCCCUUCCAUAUAUAUAUAUAUAUAUGUGUG
rnacentral:misc_RNA from 1 species